rnacentral:rRNA from 1 species
UGAAUACGAGACGCUAAGGCGUCGAAGUAGUGUAUGUCAUACUUCCAAGAAAAGCUUGCACUGUCAUAGAUAAAAAACGCCUGUACCAUAACCGACACAGGUGGGUAGGUAGAGUAUACUAAGGGGCGCGAGAUAACUCUCUCUAAGGAACUCGGCAAAAUAACUCCGUAACUUCGGGAGAAGGAGUGCCUUAUUCGUAAGGUUGCAAUAACAAGAUCCAAGCAACUGUUUAUCAAAAACACAGGUCUCCGCUAAGUCGUAAGACGAUGUAUGGGGGCUGACGCCUGCCCAGUGCCAGAAGGUUAAAGAAGUUGGUUAGCAAUUGCGAAGCUGAUAACUGAAGCCCUGGUGAACGGCGGCCGUAACAAUAACGGUCCUAAGGUAGCGAAAUUCCUUGUCGGGUAAGUUCCGACCCGCACGAAAGGCGUAAUGAUUUGGAUACUGUCUCGGAGAGGGGCUCGGUGAAAUAGACUUGUCUGUGAAGAUGCGGACUACCUGCACCAGGACAGAAAGACCCUAUGAAGCUUUACUGUAACUUGAAAUUGAAAUUGGACUUUAUUCGCGCAGUAUAGGUGGGAGGCGUUGAUUAUAAUCUUGUGGGAUUAUUGGAGCCAUCAGUGAGAUACCACUCUUGUAAUGUUAGAUUUCUAACUUUGAAUCAUUAUCUGGUCAAAGAACAGUUUCAGGCGGGCAGUUUGACUGGGGCGGUCGCCUCCUAAACGGUAACGGAGGCGUACAAAGGUUUCCUCUGAACGGUUAGAAAUCGUAUCUAGAGUGUAAAGGCAUAAGGAAGCUUGACUGUGAGACCUACAAGUCGAGCAGGGACGAAAGUCGGUCUUAGUGAUCUGACGGUACUGAGUGGAAAGGCCGUCACUCAACGGAUAAAAGUUACUCUAGGAUAACAGGCUGAUCUCCCCCAAGAGUUCACAUCGACGGGGAGGUUUGGCACCUCGAUGUCGGCUCAUCGCAUCCUGGGGCGGUAGUACGUCCCAAGGGUUGGGCUGUUCGCCCAUGAAAGCGGUACGCGAGCUGGGUUCAGAACGUCGUGAGACAGUUCGGUCCAUAUCCGGUGUAGGCGUUAGAAUAUUGAGAGGAGCCUUCUUUAGUACGAGAGGACCGAGAAGGACAUACCUCUGGUGUACCAGUUAUCGUGCCAACGGUAAACGCUGGGUAGCUAUGUAUGGAGUGGAUAACCGCUGAAAGCAUCUAAGUGGGAAGCCCACCUCAAGAUAAGUAUUCUCAUCA